rnacentral:rRNA from 1 species
UAAAUGACUCUCGGCAACGGAUAUCUCGGCUCACGCAUCGAUGAAGAACGUAGCAAAAUGCGAUACUUGGUGUGAAUUGCAGAAUCCCGUGAACCAUCGAGUUUUUGAACGCAAGUUGCGCCCGAAGCCUUUUGGCCAAGGGCACGUCUGCCUGGGCGUCACAC